CAAUAGCGUAUAUUAAAGUUGUUGCAGUUAAAAAGCUCGUAGUUGGAUUUCUGGUUGAAGCGACCGGUCGGGCGUUGAUUCGUCUGCACUGGAGUCGGUUUUGGCCAUCCUCUAGGAAAGUGCGUCUGGUAUUAAGUUAUCGGGCGUAUGAUCCUGGUCUUUUACUGUGAAAAAAUUAGAGUGUUUAAAGCAGGCCUUCGCCUUGAAUACAUUAGCAUGGAAUAAUAAGAUAGGACUUUGGUCUAUUUUGUUGGUUUGCAGACCGAAGUAAUGAUUAAUAGGGAUAGUUGGGGAUAUUUAUAUUCCGAUGUCAGAGGUGAAAUUCUUAGAUUUUCGGAAGAUAAACUUAUGCGAAAGCAUUUACCAAGGAUGUUUUCAUUAA
rnacentral:rRNA from 1 species